UUUUUCCAGCCGGUGGGAAUUUUCCCACAAUGGACGAAAGUUUGAGGGAGCAACCGCCGCGUGAGUGAAGAAAGGGUUUCGGCUCGUAAAACUUUUGUUUUUUAAGGAAGAACAUUAUCUGAGAGUAACUGUUUCAGGUAUUGACGGGUAUUUAACCAGAAAACCCACGGCUAACUACGUGCCCAGCAGGCCGCGGUAAUAAGUAGGUGGCAAGCGUUGUCCCGGAUUUAUUUGGGCCUAAAGCGAGCGCAGGCGGUUUUUUUAAGUCUGAUGUGAAGGCCUUAGGCUCAACCGAAGAAGUGCAUCGGAAACUGGGAAACUUGAGUGCAGAAGAGGACAGUGGAACUCCAUGUGUAGCGGUGAAAUGCGUAGAUAUUUGGAAGAACACCAGUGGCGAAGGCGGCUGUCUGGUCUGUAACUGACGCUGAGGCUCGAAAGUAUGGGUAGCAAACCGGAUUAGAUACCCUGGUAGUCCAUACCGUAAACGAUGAAUGCUAAGUGUUGGAGGGUUUCCGCCCUUCAGUGCUGCAGCUAACGCAUUAAGCAUUCCGCCUGGGGAGUACGGCCGCAAGGCUGAAACUCAAAGGAAUUGACGGGGGCCCGCACAAGCGGUGGAGCAUGUGGUUUAAUUCGAAGCUACGCGAAGAACCUUACCAGGUCUUGACAUACAUAUGCAAAUCUAAGAGAUUAGACGUUCCCUUCGGGGACAUGGAUACAGGUGGUGCCAAGGGUUUUAUUCACGUUUUCGUUUUUGUA
rnacentral:rRNA from 2 species